rnacentral:lncRNA from 1 species
UGGGGUGCCUCCUUCCUCUAACAAUUUCUCUUGCUCGGAGGCGAACAACUUCAAACCUUGAGUCAACCAUUUUCCCCAGUUUGCCUGAGAAAGUUCUAGGAACAGGCAACUUGAAAUAAAAACAAAAUAAAUCAAAACAAUAACACAUUGUUUUUUGAAAUGUUCACCCAUUCUUUCUCUCUUCCUCAAGGGUGAGAAAUUUCACUUACCUCUAAGCUUCAGAAGUUCCCCGCACGGGACGCCAAAUGCCGCAGUCUGGCUGGGCACAAAAUCACGAGCCACCACACAGCUUGUAUUCAAACAGCAACUCUUUAUUCCCGAACUCACACCAGCCGUCUACAAUCACGUUCUGGGGAAAUCCACGUUCUCUGCCCAAAUCCACCCCCACUGGGCUUCUGUCUCCCAAAAAAUACUGUCUGAAUCCCGUGAGAACUCAAGGGGAACUCAGGCAGCAGGAUACGCCCUAUUCCCAGCAGGAAUAACCUUAAACCUGGAACGCCCUAAACCCGGAUUAUCC